rfam:Tauraco erythrolophus contig34137, whole genome shotgun sequence.
ACAAAGGUUUUUUUUAAAGCCAUUUAAUCUCAAAACACGAAGAACU